AUUGAACGCUGGCGGCAUGCUUUACACAUGCAAGUCGAACGGUAACAGGCCGCAAGGUGCUGACGAGUGGCGAACGGGUGAGUAAUGCAUCGGAACGUGCCCAGUCGUGGGGGAUAACGCAGCGAAAGCUGUGCUAAUACCGCAUACGAUCUAUGGAUGAAAGCGGGGGACCGUAAGGCCUCGCGCGAUUGGAGCGGCCGAUGUCAGAUUAGGUAGUUGGUGGGGUAAAGGCUCACCAAGCCCACGAUCUGUAGCUGGUCUGAGAGGACGACCAGCCACACUGAGAAUGAGACACGGCCCAGACUCCUACGGGAGGCAGCAGUGGGGAAUUUUGGACAAUGGGCGCAAGCCUGAUCCAGCAAUGCCGCGUGCAGGAAGAAGGCCUUCGGGUUGUAAACUGCUUUUGUACGGAACGAAACGGCGAGCUCUAAUACAGUUUGCUAAUGACGGUACCGUAAGAAUAAGCACCGGCUAACUACGUGCCAGCCGCCGCAGUAAGAC
rnacentral:rRNA from 1 species